rnacentral:lncRNA from 1 species
UGAGGAUUGGGUCUUGAGACAAAGAAUCCUAUAGUGGCGAAAGUGAUGAGUUUGGACAUAGCCUAGUAGAGUGGCAUUGAACUAGUGUAGGAGAGACACUAUGACAUGAACAAAUAACAUGUAGAAUAAUUGAGACAUUUACUACAAUGACUAAACGAGUGGCAUUGAGUCUAGUGUAGUAAACAUGACAUGGUUCUAGGGAUAGUAGAGAUCCCGGCAUCUAGGAUGCAUUGUUUAUUGUGCAGCAAGGGCACACAUCGACCCUAGUAGACAGGGUAUCCUCUUGUGAGGAUUGGAUCAUACUCACUAGUCUGUUUUUGCUUGUCGGUGGUCGCUCCACCGAGGCACGAGUCUCCGGAGUACUUCACUAGGGGCAGACGUAGUUGUCCCGCAGACGGUCUCGGUGUGCGAGUGCAGUUUCUCCUCACCUAUGAGAUUGAGAGUGAGUCGAGGGUUUAACCUUCGGGUUAACCAAGUGAAUUGGGUAAGAAACAUGAAAUGCAUAAUAGACUUGCAUUAUUACCUUGAGUAGACAUAGUGUAUGUUGUAGUUUGCAUUACUAUGCUCCUUUAUAUACUCAUGACAUGAUACUAGCAUGAUAGUAGUUGUUGCAUGCAUUAUUAUCAUUGGUGGCAUGAUAGAGUAGUUGCAGUUAUCUUUAUAUAUCUAUCUAUCUCUCUAUCUGUGCCAGCUUAGACCUAGUGGGAAAACCGGCGGCGUCGGCGGCCGAACCCACUGGAAACUAUAUUUAUAUAGUUCUCACCCCGUGUGGUUUUGGGGUACAGGUACACACAGAGGCGAGUCAAGCGAGGACCGCGGUAAGGGCAUAGCGCCCUAAGUGAGUUUAGUGGUAGCU